GCCUCGGCUGGCAUUUGAUUUGGAAAGAUGUAGACGUGUUUUAACAUACUCGAAAGGAAAUUUCCGGAAAUCAAUUAUUCCGACAAUUGUUUUUUGUCAAGUUGCGAAGAAAAAUCUUGAGUUGCGAUCGUUAGCUAUGAUGAAAGCCAAGUUGACAACAAAUAUCAGUUUGGCAGACAGUUAACAGUUCUUAAAGAGGUUCACUAGCUUCAUGCUAACACACAAUC